rnacentral:rRNA from 1 species
AUGAGGAGGAAGCUUAGCGGCGGACGGGUGAGUAACGCGUGAGUAACCUGCCCAUAAGAGGGGGAUAACACAGAGAAAUUUGUGCUAAUACCGCAUAUUGAGCAUUGACCGCAUGGUCGAUGCUUGAAAGAUUUAUCGCUUAUGGAUGGACUCGCGUCUGAUUAGUUAGUUGGCGGGGUAACGGCCCACCAAGGCGACGAUCAGUAGCCGAACUGAGAGGUUGAUCGGCCACAUUGGGACUGAGACACGGCCCAGACUCC